GCCUAGCCCUAAACUUAGACAGUACAAACACAAUACUGUCCGCCAGAGAACUACAAGCGAAAAACUCAAAACUCUAAGGACUUGGCGGUGCUCCACAUCAACCUAGAGGAGCCUGUCCUAUAAUCGAUACCCCACGUUAAACCUUACCAUCUUUAGCCCCUCAACCUAUAUACCGCCGUCGUCAGCCUACCUUAUGAAAGAAGUACAGUAAGCAAAGCAGUCAAAAACUAACACGUCAGGUCAAGGUGUAGUACAUAAGAUGGAAGAGAUGGGCUACAUUUUCUAAACCAGAAUACACGAACGGGGUAAUGAAAUAAACCCCUAAAGGUGGAUUUAGCAGUAAGAUGUAUAAGAAACACCAUCUUAAAUUCGCCCUGGAGCGCGCACACACCGCCCGUCA
rnacentral:rRNA from 1 species